CCCUAUGGGGUGCAGCGAAUAUGCAAUCCAUCCCGGGUCAUACCACAUGGCACUCCAUGAUGCCGGUAUCUCUGAAUACAACAUCAUGAACUAUUCAUCUGUGUUGCCGGCCACCUCUAGACUGGUGACUCUUGACGAGGUUGACAUGCCUCCCUAUGGCUCCGAACUGUGCACAAUUAUGGCAGUGGCAAACGGCUACUACGGGGAGCAUGUGUCUGCAGGGGUAAUCUUCGCAUGGAUGUACAAGGAUGAUACAUGCGAGGAAAAGAUCGGGGGGCUCGUGUGCGAACUGGCCGGAUACUUUGACAUGGAGGCUCUUGAGGAGAGGCUCUAUACAGUUCUCCAUGACCUGCAUGACAGGACUUUCUCCAAAUAUUACCUGGGAGAGC
rnacentral:rRNA from 1 species